rnacentral:rRNA from 1 species
UACAGGGGGCGCAAGCGUUGCUCGGAAUCACUGGGCGUAAAGCGAACGCAGGCGGACCGUUAAGUCGAAUGUGAAAGCCCGGGGCUCAACCCCGGAAGUGCAUUCGAAACUGGCGGUCUUGAGUACGGGAGAGGUGGGUGGAAUUCCUGGUGUAGAGGUGAAAUUCGUAGAUAUCAGGAGGAACACCGGUGGCGAAAGCGGCCCACUGGCCCGAUACUGACGCUCAUGUUCGAAAGCGUGGGGAGCAAACAGGAUUAGAAACCCCUGUAGUCC